rnacentral:lncRNA from 1 species
CCACGCCAUUUUAACAGCUUUAUUCCAAAUAGGGUUGAUAAUUAUUUACUCUGACAGGAUCAACAUAACUCAUUCCCAAUCAAUUUCAAAUAUGAGUGUAAAUAUAUUCUGUAGUUAAAUAAGUUAAUUAAUCAAUUAUAUAAUUAUUCAUCAAGACAUAUACGUCAUAGCCAAUUAACAAACAAUAAAACAUUGAAUAAAAACGUGGAGAAGGGAGAUUGGAAUUUCCAAAAUUCUUAUGAGGCUUUAAUUAAGUCCACUGGGUGCUCGGAAUUAUCAAAUCAUUUCUACAUUUCCAUUCUAA